GGUGGGGAAUCUCAGGCCCAGGAGGCCACUAUGUGAGGAAAAGCCUCCUGAUCGCAAUUUUCUGUGGAAUCUGAGGGUGAAUGGAAGGUAGAGGACCGUAUUCUGGAAGAGGAUUGAACAGACUACUGAGUUCUUAAGAGAAAAAUGGCACUUAAGAAAUUGAUGGUGAUAUCAAAGGAAGGUUACUUAUUACUCUUGGACUUUGAUGAUGAGGACGAUGACAUAAAAGUUUCAGAGGAGGCUCUUGCGGAAGUAAAGAGCCCAGGAUUUGAUAAAAAUGAGAAUAUAUCGCCUCAAGCAGAAGCAGAUGAAUAUAUGGGAGAUGAAGUAGACAGUAUGUUGGAUAAAUCUGGAGUAAAGAACCCAGCAAUUGGUAAAGAUGAGAAUAUAUCGCCUCAAGUAAAAGGAGAUGAAGACAUGGGAGAUGAAAUUGACAGUAUGUUGGCUACAUCUGGAGGUCUUUUCUCCUGAGAACACGGGACUCCAGCAUCUUCGGAUUCUGCUCUUGGAGACUUGGAUAUUAAACAAAGUCAAAGAAGUAUCCUAGCCAUCAACAGUCAACCCAAACUGUUGGAAGAAGGAAUAUGUUUCUGCCUUGUCUCUCCCAAAUGAACACAAACUAUGAAAAUAUAAAACUCUGAAUCAGGAUUGGAAACUUAUGAUCAUCACUGGAAACAUUCUCCACUAUAUUAAGUACCAGGAUCUUUUACCUUGGACAGAAGUGUAUAUGGCAACUUCACAGUCUGCCUCAAGGAGACUCUGUCCUCUUCUUGCAGUAGGGCCUAUGUGUGCAGCUGAACAGAGCGUUGAGGAAACGUCAGUGAUUUUAUAACUACUUAUCAUGUUGGGAGAUUGUUGUGAUGAUUGCCUGGACUCUCAGAUGUUACACAGGCUGCAUCAUUGGACUGAAAGUGAAUGGCCCAUGUGUUGCCACUGAUGUGAGCCAUUUGCCUGUUGUGCUUCAA
rnacentral:precursor_RNA from 1 species